rnacentral:tRNA from 1 species
GCCGGUGUGGUGGAAUAGGCAGACACAAGGGACUUAAAAUCCCUCGAUCAUUGCGAUCGUACCGGUUCAAGUCCGGUCACCGGCACCA